UACAGAGGUCUCAACCGUUGUUCGGAUUCAUUGGGCGUAAAGGGUGCGUAGGCGGUCGCGCAAGUCGGAUGUGAAAUCUCAGGGCUCAACCCUGAAACUGCAUUCGAUACUGCGUGGCUAGAGUGCUGGAGAGGAGACUGGAAUUUACGGUGUAGCAGUGAAAUGCGUAGAUAUCGUAAGGAAGACCAGUGGCGAAGGCAAUCCCCUGGACCUGUACUGACGCUCAUGCACGAAAGCGUGGGGAGCAAACAGG
rnacentral:rRNA from 1 species